CCUUCUUCCUCCUCUUCGCUGAAUACAGCUCACGGUAAGUACUGGUUCACACAGUUCGUUCUCGAGGUGCUCACUCUCUUUCUCUUCCUCCACAGGCAACGGCUGGGACACAAAAGCACAGUUAAUUCGGCUUGGUUUUGCUCUCACCUCUUCGCUGAUUACAGCUCACAGUAAGUACUGGUUCACACAGUUCGUUCCUUGGGUGCUCACUCGCUUUCUCUUUCUCCACAGGCAGCGGCGUAAGUACAGGUUUCCUCUGUUUCUCCUUGUGUUACUCACUCUCUCUCUCCUUUUCUCUCCACAGGUAUCAACUUGGGCGCAAAGCACAGUUACUCUGCUUUGGAUGGCUUUCACCUCUGGGCUGGACACAGUGUACCGUGCUAUCUCCGGAGAUCUGAAGCACGCUCACAACAUAUACUGUACUGAACUAGGCUAGGACCAGCAGUCUCCUUGUCCUCCCGCAACGAAGUGCGUGAAGGCGGGGGUUUAUCUGACAAGACAC
ensembl:lncRNA